GCUUGUUAGUGGGCAGCAGCUCCGCAUCCUUCGGCUGAUCCGGCGACUGCUUCCCUCCGGCCGCCUCGAUUGUCGGCCAGAAUCAUCAGAGCGGCGGCAUCAGCAACACGUACGCACACUUCUCACACAAGCCACGAAUGAAGCUGGGCUUUCGGAUGAAAGGAUCGAGGUUUUGGCCGGGCCAAAAAGACCGCCGCCGCCGCCGCCAUGCCAAGACUCUCCGUGAUAAAUUGCAAUGAUAGCAAAAGUACUUGACUGGUAACUCCGACGACCAGACGGCCGUGGCCGAAAAUCAGGAAAAAUCGAAAAAUAAAAAUAAAACGAAACAUUUUUUUUGGCAGACGUGUCCCCGCCGCAGAAAGCUGAAAAUUAACCGCCGGCAACGGCGCGAGAACGCUUCGUGUUGCAUGUAAGCCAGUCAGUCAGCCAGCGGUCGAAAGAUGAUAUAUCCAAAAAUUCCAUAUAAUGACUGCCGGCUACAGCAGCAAUAACGGCAAAGUACACAGGUACAAGUACAAGUACAAGUACAGGGAACCAAAGUGCAUUAGAAGCUGCGGAGCCCAGACAUGGGAACUAUUUUCACGCUCAGUUGCAAUCUGUCAAUGCCGUUCGCCACACCGAGUCAUGGCAUCAGCAGCAAUACAACAGCAACAGCAAGAGCAACUGCAACAGGCACGACACCUCUCUGUGGCCUGUUGGUGUUGCUGCAACGCCCCGGCACGCUGGCCACUCAACCUGGCCAACAACCAAGAGGCAACAUCCAACAACCGAGCCAGCCAGCCAGGCGCGCUGAUAUAUCAAAGCCAAGCCAUCAUCAUCUUAUUAAAGAGUGCCAACUUAAUUUGCUUCUCCAUGCUGCUAGACAAGUUGUUGCCGUUGUGUUCUAUUCUGGCCUGGUGUUGCUGCCACGUCGUGUUGUUGCUGCGGUCCACCGGUCAAGGUGUUGCUGAGGGGCGUUGCAGCAGACAGUUAGAAAUGGAAAAGACAAGUCUAAUUCUGGCAUCAAUAAGCCGAAGCUGCAAUAUCCUUGCCGAAUAAGGGAAUUAUUGGAGCGGUGUAAAUCGAAUUAUGCGAUUUGCUGGGAUUUGUUAAUUUUGAUUAAGACCUUAAUGGGCUCUAUAUUAAGUUAAGUCAAAUUACGAAGAUUAAAUAGCUCAC
ensembl:ncRNA lncRNA:CR46445 long non-coding RNA:CR46445